AGCUUAGUUGGUAAAGCACUCGUCUAAGUAGCAUACAAGAGUUGUGGGUUUGAAUCCCAC
rnacentral:tRNA from 1 species